rnacentral:rRNA from 1 species
CGCGGCCUAUCAGCUUGUUGGAGAGGUAACGGCUCACCAAGGCAUCGACGGGUAGCUGGUCUGAGAGGAAGAUCAGCCACACCGGGACUGAGACACGGCCCAGACUCCUACGGGAGGCAGCAGUGGGGAAUCUUGCACAAUGGGCGCAAGCCUGAUGCAGCAACGCCGCGUGCGGGAAGAAGGCCCUAGGGUUGUAAACCGCUUUCAGUAGGGAAGAAAAUGACGGUACCUACAGAAGAAGGUGCGGCCAACUACGUGCCAGCAGCCGCGGUGACACGUAGGCACCAAGCGUUAUCCGGAUUUAUUGGGCGUAAAGAGCUCGUAGGCGGUUCGGUAAGUCGGGUGUGAAAACUCUGGGCUCAACCCAGAGAGGCCACCCGAUACUGCUGUGACUAGAGUGCGGUAGGGGAGCGGGGAAUUCAUGGUGUAGCGGUGAAAUGCGCAGAUAUCAUGAGGAACACCAGCGGCGAAGGCGCCGCUCUGGGCCGUAACUGACGCUGAGGAGCGAAAGCAUGGGUAGCAAACAGGAUUAGAUACCCUGGUAGUCCAUGCCGUAAACGUUGGGCACUAGGUGUGGGUCUCAACCAACGAGAUCCGCGCCGUCGCUAACGCAUUAAGUGCCCCGCCUGGGGAGUACGG